CAAAAAAGUAAAAAAAUUAGCCAGGCAUGGUGACGUGUGCCUGUAGUCGUAGCUACUUGAGAGGCUAAGGCAGGAGAUCACUUGAAUUCAGGAAUUUGAGGCUGCAGUGGGAUAUGAUUUUGCCAUUGCUCUCCAGCCUGGGCAGUAGAGUGAGACCCUGUCUUAAGAAGUAAAAUAAAUAUUAAAAAUAAAGUAAAUACAAGGUGAAUUUUAUGGAAUGCAAAUUAUGUCUCGAUAACGCUACUAAAACAAAGAAAUAGAAGCCAGGCACAGGGUCAUUUCCCAGUGCUGAUCCUGGCCCUGUGAUCUCUCUUGGCAACCGUCUUCAUGACAAUUCUGGAAAUAGGCAUGUCCGCUUUGAUUCUUUUUGUGCUAUAGGAAGUGGGAGAGAAUGUUCUGCUUGGGAAGGCUCAGGCAUCGUGUGCCUUGCAGAGGUAACAGCUGAUGAACCUGCACUGGAUAGUAACAGGAAAGGGGCAACCUGAGGCAGGAGGGACAGAGGCUGGUGAUUUGUUGGAGUCAGAUUUCAUCUAUUUCAAAGGUCUUUCCUGUUUGCUUUCAACUGUGUAAGGUCAACUAAUGGCUUGGGUGUUUGGGUGGUAGGUGGAUUCCUGUAGGUGCAGUCUAGAAGAAAUAUUGUUGUUAUGGUUUUUGUUUUUUUCACCACACUUUUCCUUAAUUUGACCUUUUGUUUGUUUGUGUAGCCAAAAGAAGACCCAGAGAGUGUCACUCCUCUUUGAAGACGAUGUUGAUAGCGGAGGCUCUCUGUUUGGCCCUCCUCCCACAUCUGUUCCUCCUGCAACAACGAAAAAAGAGACUGUCUCUGAGGCACCACCUUUGCUGUUCAGCGAUGAAGAAGAGAAGGAGGCACAACUUGGAGUGAAGUCUGUGGAUAAGAAGGUUGAGAGUGCCAAGGAGUCAUUAAAAUUUGGGAGAACUGAUGUGGCUGAGUCAGAAAAGGAAGGACUUUUGACUAGAUCUGCUCAGGAAACAGUCAAGCAUUCUGAUUUAUUUUCUUCAUCAUCCCCAUUGGACAAAGGAACCAAGCCUAGAACCAAAACUGUUCUUAGCUUGUUUGAUGAGGAAGAGGAUAAAAUGGAAGAUCAAAACACUAUCCAGGCUCCACAGAAAGAAGUAGGAAAGGUAAGCAAAAAGCAAUAGUGGUUCAAGUCUCUGGAUGAGAUAAAAGACUCUCAUCUCAUGGUUGUCAUUCUGUCAUGUGAGUUUCUGAAGGAAUCUUAACCUUCAAUGUAGUGUGUUAAUGAUUCUGUGCAGUCAUUUAGAUAUUUGGGAAUCUUAAUCAGGAACUCUUACCUCAAGUAGCAGUGUUAGGAUAGGGGAUUAGAAUUUCACCCCCCUCUUCUGGGAUUUACAGACCUUGUUGUUCCUUCUAGCAAAACUUUGCCCCUUGGCCAGUUGUGGGAUGUAAACAGCAGGAAAGGGAAGUUAGGCUGGAGCUGUACAGUUAAGUAUUUCUAACAUUCAGUUUAAGAAAAAGUGUUGUAGAUGAACCUUUCAUACUGAUCAGGUGUCAGCAAACUAUUUCUACAAAAGACCAUAUAAUGACUAUUUUAGCUUUUGCAGCCUAUUUGGGCUCUGUCAUAACUGCCUAGCUCUGCCAUUGGCAGCAUGAAAACAGUCCUAGGAAACAUGAAGAUGGAUGGGCAUGACUGUGUUCCAGUAAGUUUUAUUAAUAAAAAUAGGUGAUGGUCAGCUGGGCGUGGUGGCUCACACCUGUAAUCCCAGCACUUUAGGAGGCCAAGGUGGGUGGAUCACAAGGUCAAGAGAUCGAGACCAUCCUGGCCAACAUAAUGAAACCCUGUUUCUACUAAAAAUACAAAAAAUAGCUUGGCGUGAUGACGCUUGCCUGUAAUCCCAGCUACUCGGGAGGCUGAGGCAGGAGAAUUGCUUGAACCAGGAAGUCGGAGGUUGUAGUGAGCCGAGAUCACACCACUGCACUCCAGUGUGGCAACAGAACGAGACUCCAUCUCCAAAAAAAAAAAAAAAAAAAGAAACAGAUGAUGGUCAUUCUGUGAGGUUAGUAUGACCCUGAUAUUAAAACCAGACAGUGACAUCACCAGAAAGCUAGAUAUCCUUUAUGAAUGUAGAGGCCAAAAUCCUCAACAAAAAUACUACUAAACCCAAUUCAGCAAAAUAUAAAAAAGAUUGCACAUUAUGAGAAGUGAGAUUUACCCCUGGAAUGCAAGGUUGGUUCAACAUCUAAAAUUAGUUGAUAUAAUGCACUGUAUCAAUAAAAUACAGAAUUAAAAGGCACAUGAUCAUCUCAACAGAUGCAGAAAAAGCUUUUAAUAAAAUCCAAACCUUUUCAUGGUAAAGCACUCAAUUAGGCAUAGGAGGAAGCUUAAUGAACUUGAUAAAGGACAUCUAUGAAAUCCCUCAGCUGACAUCAUACUUAAUGGUGAAAAACUGCAUGCUUUCAACCCUAACAUCAUGAACAACACAACAAUGUCCACUCUUGGUAAUUCUAAUCAACCUUGUACUGGGGAUUCUAAGCAGGGCAUGUAGGUGAGAAAAUGAAAUAAAAGGCAUUCAGAUUGGAAAGGAAAAAGUGAAGUGAAGCAAUCUGUAUUUGCAGAUGGCAUGAUCUUUUAUAUAGAAAGUCUUAAGGAAUCUGCAAAAAACAUCCAUUGGAAAUAAUUAAAGUCAUUAAGAUUGAAGGAUGUAAGAUCAAUAUGUGAAAACCAAUUGUAGUUCUGUAAGCUAGUAAUGAACAUUUACUAACUUACGAAAGUUACUACUAGUAACUUUCUUUUUUUUUUUUUUUUUUGCGAUGGAGUUUCACUCUUGUCCCCCAGGCUGGAUUGAAAUGGCACAAUCUUGGCUUACUGCAACCUUUGCCUCCCGGGUUCAAGCGAUUCUCCUGCCUCAGCCUCCUGAGUAGCUGGGAUUAUAGGCACCCACCACCAUGCCCAGCUAAUUUUUGUAUUUUUAGUAGAGACAGGGUUUCACCAUGUUGGCCACGCUGACCUCGAACUCUUGACCUCAGGUGAUCCACCUGCCUCAGCCUCCCGAAGUGCUGGGAUUACAGGCACGAGCCACUGCACCCAACCUACUAGUAGUAACUUUCAUAAGCAAUUACCAGCUUUUGACUGAAAUUAAGAAAUCAGUUUCUUUUAUAGUAAUGCCAAGAAGGGCAAAAUAGGAGUAAAUUUAGCAAAAGAAGUACAAGACUUGUAAACUAAAAUCUACAAAACAUUGAAAGAAAUUAAAGACCUAAAAUUGAUGGAAAGACAUCUCGUGUUUAUGGACCAGAAACCUUAAUAUUGGUAAGGUGGCAAUACUUCCUUCCCAGAUUGAUUUAUUGUAAUCUCUAUCAAAAUUCCAGCUUGCUUUUUGCAGAAAUGGACAAGCUGAUCCUAAAAUUUUUAUGGAAGUGUAAGAGACCAAGAAUAGCCAACAGUCUUGAAAAGGAAGAAUAAAGUUAGAAGACUCACACUUCCUGAUUUCAAAACUUACUUUAAGACAGGGUGGUAUUGGCAUAAGGUUAAAAUAUAUAGAUCAGUGAAGUAGAAUUGAGAGUCUAGAAACAAACCCUCACAUUUACAGUCAGUUGCUUAAGGUGCCAAGAUAUUUCAGUGGGGACAGAAUAGUCUUCAGCAGAUGUGCCAGGAUGCUGAUUAUCUACAUGCAAAGGAAUGAAGUUGGACCCAUUAAUAAAUAAACUCAGAUCCAGUGUAAGAUCCAAAUGUAAGAACUAAAACUGUACAACUCCUAGAAUCCAGAGAGUAUGUGAGUAAAUUAUCAUGACCUUGGAUUAGGCAAAGCCUUCUUAGAUAAGACACCAAAAGCACAAGUGACAAAAAUAGCUAAAUUGGACUUUAUUUAAAUGAAAAACAUUGUGCUUCAAAGGGCACCAUCUGGAAAGUCAAACGACCACCCACAAAAUGGGAGAAAAGAUUUACAGAUCAUGUAUUUGAUAAAGGACUUAGAUCCAGAAUAUGUAAAAGACUUAUAAGUCAAUAAUAAAAAGACAAAUAGCCCAGAUGAAAGAAGGGAUAGGCCAGGCGUCAUGGCUCAUGCCUGUAAUCCCAGCACUUUGGGAGACCAGGACGGGAGGAUUGCUUUAGGCUGGGAGUUCAAGACCAGCCUGGGCAACAUAGCAAGAUCCUGUCUCUACAAAAAAUUUAAAAAAUUAGCCAGGCCUGGUUGCGUGCUCCUAUAGUUCUAUCUCCUUGGGAAGUUGAGGCAGAAGAGUCCUUUGAGCCCAGGAGUUCAAGGCUGUAGUGGGCUGUGAUCACACCAUUGCACUCAGGCUGAGUGACAGAACGAGACCCUGUCUGAAAAAAAAUAGAUAAGACAGACAUCUGAAUAGAGAUUUUACUGAAGAAGAUAGACAAAUGGCCAAAAAGGAUAUAGAAAGAUCAUCAGGCCGAAGCCUCAAAACCACGAGCUGAUCAUACCACUUUCAUACCCGGAAGAGGACCAUUAAUAAAAAAAAAAAAAAAGGGAAGUAACGAG
rnacentral:lncRNA from 1 species